AAUCAACGCUGGCGGCGUGCCUCAGACAUGCAAGUCGAACGCGAAACCUUCCUUCGGGAGGGGAGUAGAGUGGCGCACGGGUGAGUAACACGUAGGUAAUUUGCCUUCGGGUGGGGAAUAACAGCCGGAAACGGCUGCUAAUACCGCAUAAUGCAGCGGCUCGACAUCGAGACAGUUGUUAAAGCGGGGGAUUCGCAAGAACCUCGCGCCUGAAGAGAAGCCUGCGGCAGAUUAGCUAGUUGGUAGGGUAAUGGCCUACCAAGGCGACGAUCUGUAACCGGCCUGAGAGGGCGGUCGGUCACACUGACACUGACAUACGGGUCAGACUCCUACGGGAGGCAGCAGUCGGGAAUUUUGGGCAAUGGGCGAAAGCCUGACCCAGCAACGCCGCGUGAAGGAUGAAAUCCCUCGGGAUGUAAACUUCGCAAGAACAGGAAGAAUAAGUAGGGGACAACUACCCCUAUGAUGACGGUACUGUUUGUAAGCUCCGGCU
rnacentral:rRNA from 1 species